AUUGAACGCUGGCGGCAGGCCUAACACAUGCAAGUCGAACGAGUGGCGGACGGGUGAGUAAUGUCUGGGAAACUGCCUGAUGGAGGGGGAUAACUACUGGAAACGGUAGCUAAUACCGCCUACCAUCGGAUGUGCCCAGAUGGGAUUAGCUAGUAGGUGGGGUAAAGGCUCACCUAGGCGACGAUCCCUAGCUGGUCUGAGAGGAUGACCCGACACCCUGGAACAGAGACACGGGCCAGACUCCCACGGGAGGCAGCAGUGGGGAAUAUUGCACAAUGGGCGCAAGCCUGAUGCAGCGAGGCCGCGUGAGUGAAGAAGGCCUUCGGGUUGUAAAGCACUUUCAGCGAGGAGGCAUUACUCGCAGAAGAAGCACCGGCUAACUCCGUGCCAGCAGCCGCGGUAAUAC
rnacentral:rRNA from 1 species